ACAACGUUCGGACCGUCGGUCUACCGAGUAAUAUCACCCGCUCGGUGGAAGAUCUUCCCUUUGUCGU
rnacentral:pre_miRNA from 1 species